rnacentral:rRNA from 1 species
CACACGAAGUGACCUACGGGUUCGGUCUGGCAAGCCGGCUUCGACGUCACCCGAAAAAAUGAGGGCAAGUAGCCACGAAAGCACACGCAAGUAGCGGAAGCGAAGCGCUAACCGAAACACACCCCUGCCCGAUUCGCGGCCGCCGAACAGGC